AUUGAACGCUGGCGGCAGGCCUAACACAUGCAAGUCGAGCGAGCGGCGGACGGGUGAGUAAUGUCUGGGAAACUGCCUGAUGGAGGGGGAUAACUACUGGAAACGGUAGCUAAUACCGCAUACCCUCAGAUGUGCCCAGUUGGGAUUAGCUAGUAGGUGGGGUAAGGGCUCACCUAGGCGACGAUCCCUAGCUGGUCUGAGAGGAUGACCAGCCACACUGGAACGGAGACACGGGCCAGACUCCUACGGGAGGCAGCAGUGGGGAAUAUUGCACAAUGGGCGCAAGCCUGAUGCAGCCAUGCCGCGUGUAUGAAGAAGGCCUUCGGGUUGUAAAGUACUUUCAGUCGGGAGGCGUUACCGACAGAAGAAGCACCGGCUAACUCCGUGCCAGCCGCCGCGGUAAUUC
rnacentral:rRNA from 1 species